rnacentral:rRNA from 1 species
GACGAACGCUGGCGGCGUGCUUAACACAUGCAAGUCGAACGGAAAGGCCCUGCUUUUGUGGGGUGCUCGAGUGGCGAACGGGUGAGUAACACGUGAGUAACCUGCCCUUGACUUUGGGAUAACUUCAGAAACUGGGGCUAAUACCGGAUAGGAGCUCCUGCUGCAUGGUGGGGGUUGGAAAGUUUCGGCGGUUGGGGAUGGACUCGCGGCUUAUCAGCUUGUUGGUGGGGUAGUGGCUUACCAAGGCUUUGACGGGUAGCCGGCCUGAGAGGGUGACCGGCCACAUUGGGACUGAGAUACGGCCCAGACUCCUACGGGAGGCAGCAGUGGGGAAUAUUGCACAAUGGGCGGAAGCCCGAUGCAGCAACGCCGCGUGCGGGAUGACGGCCUUCGGGUUGUAAACCGCUUUCGCCUGUGACGAAGCGUGAGUGACGGUAAUGGGUAAAGAAGCACCGGCUAACUACGUG